rnacentral:rRNA from 1 species
UACGUAGGCAGCGAGCGUUGUUCGGAGUUACUGGGCGUAAAGCGUGCGUAGGCGGUCUUGUAAGUCUGUUGUGAAAUCUCCCGGCUUAACCGGGAGGGUGCGGUGGAAACUGCAAGGCUGGAGUAUGGGAGAGGUAGGCGGAAUUCCUGGUGUAGCGGUGAAAUGCGUAGAUAUCAGGAGGAACACCUGUGGUGUAGACGGCUUACUGGACCAUGACUGACGCUGAGGCACGAAAGCGUGGGGAGCAAACAGG